GACGAACGCUGGCGGCGUGCUUAACACAUGCAAGUCGAACGGCAAGGCCCUACUUUCGUGGGCUGCUCGAGUGGCGAACGGGUGAGUAACACGUGAGUAACGUGCCCUAGACUUUCGGGUAAGUUCAGGAAACUAGAGUUAAUCCCAUAUAGCAGCUGCCCCUCGAUGGAAGGGAUUGGAAAGUUUCGGCGGGUGCGGAUGGAUGCGCGGCUUAUGAGCUUGUUAGUUGGCUAGUGGCAUACCCAGGGUUUGACCGGUAGGCGGCCUGAGAGGGUGAACGGCCACAUUGGGACUGAGAUACGGCCCAGACUCGUACGGUAGGCAGUAGUGGGGAAUAUUGCCCAGUGGGCGGAAGCCUGAUGCAGCAACGCCGCGUGCGGGAUGACGGCUUUCGGGUUGUAAACCGCUUUCGCCUGUGACGAAGCGUGAGUGACGGUAAUGGGUAAAGAAGCACCGGCUAACUACGUG
rnacentral:rRNA from 1 species